rnacentral:rRNA from 1 species
UGCCAGCCGCCGCGGUAAUACUGAAGGUGCAAGCGUUAAUCGGAAUCACUGGGCGUAAAGCGCUCGUAGGUGGCUUUGUAAGUCAGAUGUGAAAGCCCACGGCUCAACCGUGGAAUUGCAUUUGAUACUGGCACGCUAGAGUGCAGUAGAGGGAGGUGGAAUUUCCGGUGUAGCGGUGAAAUGCGUAGAGAUCGGAAGGAACACCAGUGGCGAAGGCGGCCUCCUGGACCAAUACUGACGCUGAGGUGCGAAAGCGUGGGGAGCAAACAGGAUUAGAUA